GACGAACGCUGGCGGCGUGCCUAAUACAUGCAAGUAGAACGCACAGUUUAUACCGUAGCUUGCUACACCAUAAACUGUGAGUUGCGAACGGGUGAGUAACGCGUAGGUAACCUGCCUGGUAGCGGGGGAUAACUAUUGGAAACGAUAGCUAAUACCGCAUAAUAUUAAUUAUUGCAUGAUAAUUGAUUGAAAGAUGCAACUGCAUCACUACCAGAUGGACCUGCGUUGUAUUAGCUAGUAGGUGAGGUAACGGCUCACCUAGGCGACGAUACAUAGCCGACCUGAGAGGGUGAUCGGCCACACUGGGACUGAGACACGGCCCAGACUCCUACGGGAGGCAGCAGUAGGGAAUCUUCGGCAAUGGACGAAAGUCUGACCGAGCAACGCCGCGUGAGUGAAGAAGGUUUUCGGAUCGUAAAGCUCUGUUGUAAGAGAAGAACGGGUGUGAGAGUGGAAAGUUCACACU
rnacentral:rRNA from 1 species